GACGAACGCUGGCGGCGUGCUUAACACAUGCAAGUCGAACGAUGAAGCCGGAGCUUGCUCUGGUGAAUUAGUGGCGAACGGGUGAGUAACACGUGAGUAACCUGCCCUUGACUCUGGGAUAACUGCGGGAAACUGUAGCUAAUACCGGAUACGACUCUCGGAGGCAUCUCCUGGGGGUGGAAAGAAUUUCGGUCAAGGAUGGACUCGCGGCCUAUCAGCUAGUUGGUGAGGUAAAGGCUCACCAAGGCGACGACGGGUAGCCGGCCUGAGAGGGUGGCAGGCCACACUGGGACUGAGACACGGCCUAGACUCCUACGGGAGGCAGCAGUGGGGAAUAUUGCACAAUGGGCGCAAGCCUGAUGCAGCAACGCCGCGUGAGGGAUGACGGCCUUCGGGUUGUAAGCCUCUUUUAGCAGGGAAGAAGCGAAAGUGACGGUACCUGCAGAAAAAGCACCGGCUAACUACGUGCCAGCCGCCGCAGUAA
rnacentral:rRNA from 1 species